UCAGUUUCCUUCCUAACUUGCGUUAUCUCCGUCUCUUGUAUGUUCCCUCAUCGAAAAUUGCGUCGCCGCACCGGAGGCAGCGGAGCAACCCAUAAAUGGACAAAAUCACCAUCACUAGAAACCUCUCCCUCUCCUCUCUCCAGUUAUCAGCUUUAUUUCCUCUGCAUCUCACAAAAACAUCCAAACCACAAAAGAACUCCAAGAACCCUAACUCACUCAAACAAAAAUCAAACACGGUGGAAAGGGAAUCAAAGCAUGAAACCUUGGGUAUUUGAUUCCCCUCAACAACCUCUACAUGCUGGUAACAAGUUUGAGGCAAAGAAGUGAAAAAUUGUAGAAGACGAACCUAUUUACAGAGCGGAGAUUCGCUGUAGGAAGCAUUGAAGGUCUUGAAGAUGAAGUUGUAGAGAAAAUACCAAAGAAGUGAUCAGUGAAUUUGGUAGGGUGAAUAUCACUUUGGUUUGGCAUGGCAUCAUGGAUCAUGAAGAUGAUUUGGAAUGCAUCAAGAAUAUGGAGCACUUGAAGAACUUGGAGGGAAAAAUGGAAUGUCUUGAGGAUGAAGACAAAAGUAGUAUUAGGUAGUCAGAUUGACUUUAGUCAAUUGUUUGACCAAAAGUCAAUAUUUGAUCAAAAGUCAACCUCAAGUCAAAAUGUGAUUUUUUUGUAGAAUUUGUGACUAUAUUGUUUUCUAAUGACCUUUUGGUGUUUGUAAUUGGAUAUUUCCCUUUGAAUGCAAUUUAUGACUUGAUUCUCAA